rnacentral:rRNA from 1 species
AACGAUAACAGGAUGUGCUUGCACAUCGCUGACGAGUGGCGGACGGGUGAGUAAUGCUUGGGAACUUGCCUUUAGGAGGGGGAUAACAGUUGGAAACGACUGCUAAUACCGCAUAAUGUCUACGGACCAAAGGGGGCUUUUAGCUCUCGCCUAUAGAGAGGCCCAAGUGAGAUUAGCUAGUUGGUGAGGUAAAGGCUCACCAAGGCGACGAUCUCUAGCUGUUCUGAGAGGAAGAUCAGCCACACUGGGACUGAGACACGGCCCAGACCCCUACGGGAGGCAGCAGUGGGGAAUAUUGCACAAUGGGGGAAACCCUGAUGCAGCCAUGCCGCGUGUGAAGAAGGCCUUCGGGUUGUAAAGCACUUUCAGGUGUGAGGAAAGCAAUACUGCUAAUACCAGUAUUGUGUGACGUUAACACCAGAAGAAGCACCGGCUAACUCCGUGCCAGCAGCCGCGGUAAUACGGAGGGUGCGAGCGUUAAUCGGAAUUACUGGGCGUAAAGGGUGCGUAGGCGGUCGGCAAAGUCUGCUGUGAAAGCCCCAGGCUCAACCUGGGAACGGCAGUGGAUACUGGUCGACUAGAGUGCGAAA